UGGGGAAUUUUGGACAAUGGGCGCAAGCCUGAUCCAGCCAUGCCGCGUGAGUGAAGAAGGCCUUCGGGUUGUAAAGCUCUUUUCGGCCGGGAAGAAAUCGUGGUCUCUAACAUAGGCCAUGGAUGACGGUACCGGACUAAGAAGCACCGGCUAACUACGUGCC
rnacentral:rRNA from 1 species